rnacentral:lncRNA from 1 species
AAUCAUAAAGAUAAUAUCCUCUCCCAAUACAAAGUUUGAUAGUAUCAGUGCAUAGGUUCCCUCAAUUCAGGUAGGUUUGCCUCCAGCCUGACAAAAGCGCAAGGUCAAUGACGGAAAGCAGCAAAUGACACGGGCUGUUCGGGUGUGGUUGACCAUGCCGAAACCUCUGGGUAUAAUAAUUUUUGGUGAUCAUCUAUCAUACGCUGCAACUUUGCUGCUUCCUUCUCAAUUUCGCAAUCUCUGUAUGCAUCCCGUAGCACCUGACCAAGGUCAUCAGUAGGGCUAUCUUCUGCGAACUCAUCUUCAUCAACCUCGUUCAUUGUAGUAUCUGCAAAAGCUUGGCCUGCAGCCUAGUCCGGAAUGUUGUCAUUAUCCUGCUCCUCUUCGUUGUCUUCCAUUACAACCCCUCUUUC